GAGAAAGCCUGUGCGCAGCAACGAAGACCCAAUGCAGCCAUAAAUAAAUAAAUAAAUAAAAUUAAUCUUUAAAAAAUAUAUAUAUAUCAGAGUUGCUAGAAAGAGAGAGGUUACCCAGCUCUCUGGGGAGGUUGGCUUGUCCAGACGUUUCUCCAAGCCUCUAGGAUGUCUCUGGAACCCUCAGGAACAGUAUCCCAGCCUGUGCUCCAAGGCCAUGUCUCUGACCCAACCUUGUGGUGGAGGCAGCCUUUACUGCCCAGCUGAUCGAGAAUCGGCUCUGCUCAGAGGCAGUCUCCCUUCCCGGGGUCCCCAGCUGGUGAGUGGUGGUGUGUUCAAGGCAGGGUCUGCAUGGUGAGGCCUUUUCUGUGGUUCUGAGCAAUUAGGAUUUACUCCUUUGCAGUGGUAGAAGUGGUGGAGGGUGUUGAACAUGGCCUUGAGCUGAUGCCUGAAGCUGGUCAGAGGCUGGUGGUGUGGAGAGGUAACAUGGACUGGGAGCAUGUGUCCGAGGUGACACGGUGGGACCAAUGCUGAGUGAGCUCCUAGGCUGGGAGGGUGGGUCCCUGACCUGGCAGCUCCCAGAUCCAGAUUGCAGGUCAUUUGUGUGUGUGAGAAGGAGAUACAGGAGAGUGACCCUGCUGUGGGCACCAGCUGGAGGCCAUGGGGUGGGGUGGGGGAUCACAUCCCAAAGGGGAGAGAAGGCCGAGUUCUCAGCCAUGGCAUUUAUUUGUCUGUAAUUUGUGCCUGCAUCUCCUGGGACAGGUUUGGGGUGCUUUGCAGGUGAUGAGAAGGGAGCAACUCGAGCUGAGCCCCAUGCCGAGAUGCAGACUAGCAUCUUGGGCUGCGCCCCAGAGUACCUGGGCCAUCUAGGUCAAGCCCUCAGCUUCCUCCGCUGGCAGCGGUAACACAGACAAGAUGAGAUCCGAGGUUCGGCCAUCUGGGGACAGGGAACUGAGUCCAGCGUGUGGACCUGGCUCCUCCGCAGGCUGUGCUCAGUGCUGCAGGCUGCGUGUGCCGGGGGCGUGCAGCAGCAGGAACCCUGAUAUCUGAGUAGUCGAAGAUGGGAGUGAGUUUCCUGAUGGAUGCCUGCUGUCCUUGAUACCACAAGUCAUCAUGUUCAAUUUGGCUGUGAUUUCCAUGGAGAGCCUGUGCCCAGCAAGUCCGUGCAGCUCCCCUCCAGUCAGGGCUCAGAUGCUGCCCACCCACUGACAUUUAAGUAGAACACACACCAGACCCUGCCCUGCAGGUCCUUUUGCCCUUCCUGUGUACCGACGUCCCCUGUGCUCUGACUUGUCCAGUGACCCUCUGUAGAGUCACUGCUUUGGACACCUGGGGCAGUCGUGUCGGCUGGCACACGAGGGACACGGGACCCAGCAGGGGAGUGGUCUUGGUUCCACAUGGCCUAGGCCCGACUUGUUGGCUUUAUGGGUGUGUGAGCAGUGGAGCAGCAUGUGCUGCCGCUCAGGGUGAGGCAGGGGUGUCAGGGGCAGGCAGGACACCAUCUACCCCACCCCACCCCACCCCACGGGUGUUGUGAGGCUGAAACCAGAUGAUGUCCUCAAACCCUGCACCAUCUGGCUGGUCAGCACCCAGGGAGUGUCAGGUCAUGAUGCAGAGAGCAUGCAGACAUGGGAGUCUGAAAGAGACCCUGCAGUGGGAUCUGGGGUGGGGGUGGUGUUGGACUCAGCAGUUCUCUGGAACUUCUUUUUGUGGAGAGGAGAGGGAAAUUGGUAAGAAUUUAGAAGAUUUUAAUAAAAUUGAGCCAUUUAAAAAAAAAGAAAGGAGCAGGACUUCCCUGGU